UACGUAGGGGGCAAACGUUGUCCGGAAUCAUUGGGCGUAAAGAGCGUGUAGGCGGCUCGGUAAGUCCGCUGUGAAAGUCCAGGGCUCAACCCUGGAAUGCCGGUGGAAACUGUCGAGCUAGAGUCCGGAAGAGGCGAGUGGAAUUCCUGGUGUAGCGGUGAAAUGCGCAGAUAUCAGGAGGAACACCGAUGGCGAAGGCAGGUCUCUGGGCCACUACUGACGCUGAGAAGCGAAAGCAUGGGGAGCGAACAGG
rnacentral:rRNA from 1 species